AAAUAGAUACCCAGGUAGUCCACGCCGUAAACGAUGAGUGCUAAGUGUUAGAGGGUUUCCGCCCUUUAGUGCUGCAGCUAACGCAUUAAGCACUCCGCCUGGGGAGUACGGCCGCAAGGCUGAAACUCAAAGGAAUUGACGGGGGCCCGCACAAACGGUGGAGCAUGUGGUUUAAUUCGAAGCAACGCGAAGAACCUUACCAGGUCUUGACAUCCUCUGACAACCCUAGAGAUAGGGCUUUCCCCUUCGGGGGACAGAGUGACAGGUGGUGCAUGGUUGUCGUCAGCUCGUGUCGUGAGAUGUUGGGUUAAGUCCCGCAACGAGCGCAACCCUUGAUCUUAGUUGCCAGCAUUCAGUUGGGCACUCUAAGGUGACUGCCGGUGACAAACCGGAGGAAGGUGGGGAUGACGUCAAAUCAUCAUGCCCUUAUGACCUGGGCUACACACGUGCUACAAUGGAUGGUACAAAGGGCUGCAAACCUGCGAGGGUAAGCGAAUCCCAUAAAGCCAUUCUCAGUUCGGAUUGCAGG
rnacentral:rRNA from 1 species